rnacentral:snRNA from 1 species
AUUGCUUCUUGGCCUUUUGGCUAAGAUCAAGUGUAUUUUCUGUUAGCUGGAUUUUGUUACUGGAUUUAUGUUAGUUUGGACCUCAA